AUUGAACGCUGGCGGCAUGCCUAACACAUGCAAGUCGAACGGUAACGCGGGGGCAACCCUGGCGACGAGUGGCGGACGGGUGAGUAAUACGUAGGAAUCUGCCCAUUAGUGGGGGACAAC
rnacentral:rRNA from 1 species